rnacentral:lncRNA from 10 species
AAAAGAAUUAAUAAGCAGGACAAUGAGGAAAACAUUUCCUUGCCUGGUUUCCAUUCCUGAACCAAUGUUCAGACUCAGAACCCACUGAGUGAAGUGGUGGCCAAGUCACCAAGAUGAAGGACCUGUAACACUGUGGCAAGAAAGUAUUGUCACAGUUCCUCUGAUUCUUCCCCUAAAGAGAUCUACAAUAUUUAUUCCAGUGAUGGAACACGGGAUGGGGGAAUAUGCAGACAUUUUGGUGACUGUUGGGUACAAGGUCAGAGGUCAACUGAUGCCCAGAGAACUGAAGCAUUCUCAUCGCUUCCAUGUUAGAGUGGGAGCAAAUGGAGUCCUGACUGAGUUCCAGCUUACAGUGGGUUCUCUGGGUCCAUGAACCCACCAAUCGUCCUUCUCCUAAUCCCCAAAUAUAUGGUUAGGAUUGCCA